AGAGUUUGAUCAUGGCUCAGGACGAACGCUUGCGGCGUGCCUAAGAAAUGCAAGUCGAACGGGGGCUUCGGCCCCAGUGGCGAACGGUCGCGUAACACGUAAGCAACCUGCCCUGAAGUGGGGGACAACAUUCCGAAAGGGGUGCUAAUACCGCAUGUGGUCACGAGUCGGCAUCGACUUGUGUCUAAAGAUUUAUCGCUUCAGGAUGGGCUUGCGGCCUAUCAGGUAGUUGGUGGGGUAAUGGCCUACCAAGCCGACGACGGGUAGCUGGUCUGAGAGGACGAUCAGCCGGAUUGGGACUGAGAUACGGCCCAGACUCCUACGGGGGGCAGCAAUUAGGAAUCUUGCGCAAUGGGGGAAACCCUGACGCAGCGACGUCGCGUGAAGGAUGAAGGCCCUCGGGUCGUAAACUUCUUUUGAGUGGGAAGAAAUUUGACGGUACCACUCGAAUAAGCCCCGGCUAACUACGUGCCAGCAGCCGCGGUAAUACGUAGGGGGCGAGCGUUGUCCGAAGUUACUGGGCGUAAAGCGCGCGUAGGCGGUUAUUUAAGUCUGGGGUGAAAGGUUCAGCGCUCAACGUGAACAGUGCCUUGGAUACUGGAUGACUUGAGUCUGGGAGGGGGAAGGGGAAUUC
rnacentral:rRNA from 1 species